rnacentral:rRNA from 1 species
GAUGAACGCUGGCGGCGUGCCUAAUACAUGCAAGUCGAGCGAACAGACGAGGAGCUUGCUCCUCUGACGUUAGCGGCGGACGGGUGAGUAACACGUGGAUAACCUACCUAUAAGACUGGGAUAACUUCGGGAAACCGGAGCUAAUACCGGAUAAUAUAUUGAACCGCAUGGUUCAAUAGUGAAAGACGGUUUUGCUGUCACUUAUAGGUGGAUCCGCGCCGCAUUAGCUAGUUGGUAAGGUAACGGCUUACCAAGGCAACGAUGCGUAGCCGACCUGAGAGGGUGAUCGGCCACACUGGAACUGAGACACGGUCCAGACUCCUACGGGAGGCAGCAGUAGGGAAUCUUCCGCAAUGGGCGAAAGCCUGACGGAGCAACGCCGCGUGAGUGAUGAAGGUCUUCGGAUCGUAAAACUCUGUUAUUAGGGAAGAACAAAUGUGUAAGUAACUAUGCACGUCUUGACGGUACCUAAUCAGAAAGCCACGGCUAACUACGCG